UCCACAGUCAAAUCGCUUACGCGUCCAUUUUGGCCGCUACCAGCAACCGUACUGUGAUUCCGAUACGCGCUACGCAACGGAGCUGGGCCAGCAAUUAGCUUAGAAACAACUUAACCUCAUUUGACCGCAGUUACUCGUUCGGGGAAGCGGCGAUCCAUCACGUUAGCUUGUUGUCCACUGUAUCCGCCAGGAGACACGGUUCAUAGCUACUUUAAAUGGUGACGUAGUUGGAGCUUCAGGGGGACGAGACGUACACAGUGCGGUGUCAACUAGAGGAGCGACUGGAGCUAGUUUGAGGUUUUCCACGGCUCCCGGUCACGUAACAGAUAUGUGAACCUAAGUAAAGUUGCUUUCGUUGGUGUGGUGAUGGCGGCGAUGAACUGAAUUAACGGUGGCUCGUCCUCUCCAAACUGUCGACGCUAGAGUCAAGUCGUGUCCUUAGUCUUUAGCUUUAGUCGUGGUCGGAGUCAGAGACGUUAGGUUCUAUCGUUGCGCGCUUCUGUCGUUCUGUUCUUAAUUUAAUUCACUGCAGAUGGUCUGACAAAACUGACCUCACUCAGUGUCCAUAGAAAUGUCCGUCAACUCCCUGCUGUGGUGCACCUUAAGGCUGAGGAGAAAGUGCAUGGCCACACAUUUAGUCCUGAACAGGGCUCUAUCAGGGGAAGAUGCUGUCAAUGCACUCAGACCAUUUUAUUUUGCUGUCCAUCCUGACUUCUUUGGUCAGUUUCCUAUAGAACGGAAAGUGAAUGAGAAUUCAUUAAAGAGACUAAAUGGGUAUUUGGAAAACCUGCAGAAGCCUGGUUCAACUCAGCCAACAAGGCUUACCUUCUAUGUGAGGGAGACGAAGGCCAGCAGCGAGCAGCAGUCAGACCUCAUCAGCCCCGGGUUCCGGUCGGUGAGUUUCGUCCUAUGCACAAACGAUGUCCUGACCACAGUGAUGAAUAUUUUGAAGUCCUGCAGCUUGCCUGUGGAGCACAUAAAGGGGCUAAAGGGGACUUCAGAGCUGUCUCAAGGUUCACCCAAGGCGGAGGUUCCAUUCUACAGACCUGUCAAAUGGGACAAAAGCUACUACACUUUCACUGGCUUCAGGGACCCUGAGCAGGAGCUGCAGCAAGCCAGGAGAGUGGAGGCUACUUUAAGCCUAUGGUUGAGAAACAAUGAGCCCGAGGCAACGAAGAAGCUCAGUGCUAGUCUUCCUCGGAGAGAGGAGCUGACCAGACUGAGGGAGGAAUUGUGUUACAAAUUCAACCUGGCUGAUAUCAGGUGGCAGCGGAGCUGGGGAGUCGCCCACAGGUGCUGUCAGCUUCAGAGCCUGAGCCGACUGUCUCACCAGAACCCAGAGGCCUUGAUCAACCUGCAAGGAGACACUGUAGUGUUUGCUGACCAGUCAGGAAUCAACGCCUCUGGACAUGUCAUGCUGGGGACCAUGGAUGUUCAUCACCAGUGGACCAAAUUGUUGGGGCAGCUCCCCUUGUACCACAGCCUGCAGCAGCAGGCUGACUGGCUGAAGGAGAGAAUCAGCCUACUGUUGGGUGGCACACAAGUGAUCCACAUGGAGAGGCUGGCACCAAGUCAGAUGAUUGCCGAGCACUACAGCAUGCUUAGCAUCCUCUACAAGAGCUUGAUGUCCCAGAGUCUUUGCCUACAUCCCAGGAGCUUGCAGGGCCUCACCAUGUUGUUGGAAAAGGACUGCUGUAACCCCCGUCUCCAUGAGAUGGGGCACUUCAUUAUCCCUAUCAACUGUGAGCCUCACAACCUGCAAGUCUUCCUACAAAGCCACGUGUUGGAUGCCAGGCGUCGCACCCAGCUCAAAAACCAGCUGGAGCAGGAGGAGGAAGCUGCCAUGAACCUGUGUCUUCAGACACUCUCUCUGGGGAGUCUGUCCAAGGAGCCCAGCGUCAGCUCCACUCAAAUGAUCCUGUGCUGUAAGAGGUUGUUGGAGCAGCAACCCCCCUUGAUGCAGGGCCUCCAUAUAUGUGUCUCCCAUUUCUACUCAGUCAUGCAGGACGGGGACCUGUGUGUCCCCUGGAACUGGAAAAGCUGAGCUGGAGAUAACAUUGUGUCUACUCAGUUCUAACUGUUGAAUGUCAUUCAGGUACAUGUGACGGGACCUCCUGACCUUUUAGAGGAAAAAAGCAACUUAAACAACCAGCAAAUACGUUGUCCAGCAAACUACUGAACAAAAGAAGAGGGAUGAACGGUUCUGGCUCUGGAGUUAGACAUUCUAAGGGGGAAGGAGAGGCACAUACAAGAGCUCAACAACCUGGCCAGAUUUUAGGUCUCCAGCAUCAGUGAAACAUCUUGACAUGACCUAUUUCACUAAACGCAUCCUGAUUGACUGCGUUCAGUGAAGAUGAGAAGCAGCUGCUACAGUAUGUGGAGCCAUAUGUGUCCAUCACAGAAUGUCUGAUUAAACAUAGACUCAAGUGAUGAAUGAUGCUGGCUGGGCUACAUUAUGAUGUCAUGUUGAAAAGCAGAGGUGUGUCUCUUGCUGCUGUAGUCUUUUGUAUGUCAACUGUAAGGUUGUGUAAAAUAUAACGACUGGCAUUCUUA